GAAAGUAGGAAAGGGCGCAUGGCGGAUGCCUUGGCUCUCGGAGGCGAUGAAGGACGUGAUAAGCUGCGAUAAGUCACGGGGAGGUGCAAAUAACCUUUGAUCCGUGAAUCUCCGAAUGGGACAACCCGAUAUCCUGAAGGGAUAUCACCUCAUCUAGUUGAGGAGCUAACGCAGGGAACUGAAACAUCUUAGUACCUGCAGGAAAAGAAAAUAACAAUGAUUCCCCCAGUAGUGGCGAGCGAACGGGGAAGAGCCCAAACCACACAUGUUACGGCAUGUGUGGGGUUGUAGGACCACGGCGUUGCAAGAACUCUUGUGAGAAGAACAGCCUGGAAAGACUGACCACAGACGGUGACAGUCCGGUAUUCGAAGCAAGACGAAGCAUAGUGGUAUCCUGAGUAGCGCGGAACACGAGGAAUUCUGCGUGAAUCUGCCGGGACCAUCCGGUAAGGCUAAAUACUCCCGAGAGACCGAUAGUGGACCAGUACCGUGAGGGAAAGGUGAAAAGCACUUCGAACAGAAGAGUGAAAGAGUACCUGAAACCGUGCGCCUACAAGCGGUCGGAGCACGAAAGUGUGACGGCGUGCCUUUUGCAUAAUGAACCUACGAGUUACCGUAUCUGGCAAGGUUAAGGGUCACGAGACCUGCAGCCGAAGCGAAAGCGAGUCUGAAGAGGGCGUCGAGUCAGUUGCGGUAGACGCGAAACCAAGUGAUCUACCCUUGGCCAGGAUGAAGUCUGGGUAACACCAGAUGGAGGUCCGCACCAAUAAGCGUUGAAAAGCUUCUGGAUGAGCUGAGGGUAGGGGUGAAAGGCUAAUCAAACUUGGAGAUAGCUCGUACUCCCCGAAAUGCAUUUAGGUGCAGCCUCGCGGGUUACUGAUGUGAGGUAGAGCGACUGAUUGGAUGCGAGGGCUUCACCGCCUAUCAAGUCCUGACAAACUCCGAAUGCGCAUCAGUUUUACCGCGGGAGUGAGGGCAUGGGUGCUAAGGUCCGUGCCCGAGAGGAGAAGAAUCCGGACUAUCAGCUAAGGCCCCGAAAUGACAGCUAAGUUAAACUAACGAAGUCUGAUUGCUAAGACAGCUAGGAUGUUGGCUUGGAAGCAGCCAUUCAUUUAAAGAGUGCGUAACAGCUCACUAGUCGAGGAAUCGGGCGUGGAUAAUAAUCGGGUAUUAAGUUGUCUGCCGAAGCUAUAGAAUCAGCAAUGAUUGGUAGGGGAGCAUUCCAUUCUGCGUUGAAGGCGUGGCGUGAGCCAUUCUGGAGCGUAUGGAAAAGCAAAUGUAGGUAUAAGUAACGAUAAAGGGGGUGAGAAACCCCCUCGCCGAAAGACUAAGGUUUCCUGAUCAACGCUAAUCGGAUCAGGGUAAGUCGGGUCCUAAGGUUCAGCCGAACGGCGAGACCGAUGGCAGAAACGGUUAAUAUUCCGUUACUACCUUUGAGGGUGACGUGGGGACGCAGGAGUGACACCGCCGCCGGCUGACGGAAUAGCCGGUUAAAGAGUGUAGACGUUGAUUUCCGCAGGCAAAUCCACGGAAAGAGUCGAACUUGACAGUAUGGAACGUCCUUCGGGACAAUCCAAUAGUGCGGGUAAGCAGACUGCCUAGAAAAUCCGCUAAACAUAACUUCAGAGGUACCCGUACCGCAAACGGACACACGUAGUCGGGUUGAAUAUACUAAGGCGCUUGAGUGAAUCACGGUUAAGGAACUAGGCAAACUGACCCUGUAACUUCGGGAUAAAGGGUCCCUACCCAGAAAUGGGAGGGCGCAGAGAAUAGGUCCAGGCAACUGUUUAACAAAAACACAGGGCUGUGCCAAUAUGAAAGUAGACGUAUACAGCCUGACACCUGCCCGGUGCUGGAAGGUUAAGAGGAGAUGUCAUCGCAAGAGAAGCAUUGAAUUGAAGCCCCAGUAAACGGCGGCCGUAACUAUAACGGUCCUAAGGUAGCGAAAUUCCUUGUCGGGUAAGUUC
rnacentral:rRNA from 1 species